ACUGCAGCCGCCGCGGGAAUACGUAGGGUGCAAGCGUUAUCCGGAAUUAUUGGGCGUAAAGAGCUCGUAGGCGGUUUGUCGCGUCUGCUGUGAAAACUGGGGGCUCAACCUCCAGCCUGCAGUGGGUACGGGCAGACUAGAGUGCGGUGGGGGAGAUUGGAAUUCCUGGUGUAGCGGUGGAAUGCGCAGAUAUCAGGAGGAACACCGAUGGCGAAGGCAGAUCUCUGGGCCGUAACUGACGCUGAGGAGCGAAAGCAUGGGGAGCGAACAGGAUUAGAUACCCGUGUAGUCCCUGUCUCUUAUAC
rnacentral:rRNA from 1 species